GAUGAACGCUGGCGGCGUGCUUAACACAUGCAAGUCGAACGAUGAAGCCCAGCUUGCUGGGUGGAUUAGUGGCGAACGGGUGAGUAACACGUGAGUAACCUGCCCUUAACUCUGGGAUAAGCCUGGGAAACUGGGUCUAAUACCGGAUAGGAGCGUCCACCGCAUGGUGGGUGUUGGAAAGAUUUAUCGGUUUUGGAUGGACUCGCGGCCUAUCAGCUUGUUGGUGGGGUAAUGGCUCACCAAGGCGACGACGGGUAGCCGGCCUGAGAGGGUGACCGGCCACACUGGGACUGAGACACGGCCCAGACUCCUACGGGAGGCAGCAGUGGGGAAUAUUGCACAAUGGGCGCGAGCCUGAUGCAGCGGCGCCGCGUGAGGGAUGACGGCCUUCGGGUUGUAAACCUCUUUCAGUAGGGAAGAAGCGAAAGUGACGGUACCUGCAGAAGAAGCACCGGCUAACUACGUG
rnacentral:rRNA from 1 species